UCUCUACUCUCCAUCUCCUCAUGUUCUUUACUGUAUUCUCAUCUUCUCCUUUCUCAGUUGUCCUUCUCUGUCAUCGUAUAUGCUUUGAUUAUUCUUUAAUCAACGAACGAGUUUUGGUAUUGAUCCUUAAUUUGGUGAUAUUAGGGUUUCAAUAGAAUCCCUCUAUUUUAAAAAGAAGCUGUUGAAAAGAACCUGUUCGAUCCCUGAACUAUACUUAAACCUAACCGAAAGUUCUCUCUCCAUUCACAGUGGCUUUGCUGUAAACUUUUACUUCCCGUCAUAUGGUGAGUCGAGUUAAAAAUAAUGGUGUGUAGAAUCAUUUAAACUAUGAAAGAUUCAAAGGGGAUUAGGGCUACACGUGAUGGAAUUAAUGUCUUGAUAAUAAGCUCAAGAAGCCUGAAUCACUCGGGGUUGUAGUUUCAUUGAGUGGUAAGGAAUUUGGUCCAGUAGUUGUUUUUUGAUUAACCCAUCUAUACCCUGUCUGUUUUUCCUUUGAUUGACAGUAGUUUAUCAAUUAACUUAUCUAUAUACCCUGUCUGUUUUUUGUUUCUCUAGGAAGAAUUAUGCAGAAAACAACCAUGAACUGCAA